rnacentral:rRNA from 1 species
AUACGAAGGGGGCUAGCGUUGUUCGGAAUUACUGGGCGUAAAGCGCGUGUAGGCGGAUCGUUAAGUCAGGGGUGAAAGCCCGGGGCUCAACCCCGGAACUGCCCUUGAUACUGGCGAUCUAGAGUCCGGAAGAGGUGGGCGGAAUUCCCGGUGUAGAGGUGAAAUUCGUAGAUAUCGGGAGGAACACCAGUGGCGAAGGCGGCUCACUGGUCCGGUACUGACGCUGAGACGCGAAAGCGAGGGGAGCAAACAGGAUUAGAAACCCCAGUAGUCC